rnacentral:tRNA from 1 species
GGAUUGUGGUUCAGCGGUAGAGCACUCACCUAGCACAUGCAAGGUCCUGGGUUCAAUCCUCAGCACCA